UAAUAAGUGUUUUUAUGGCACUUUUUUAAAAUCCAUAUCCACCUUGUGUGCAAUGGUCGGUCGAUCUUCUUUUUUUUGAGGAUCGACCAAACAUCAACCUUUAUUUUUUAACUCUUUGUCUGAAAAAAUAUAUGAAUAAACAAUUCAAAAUA
rnacentral:misc_RNA from 1 species